GUGAAUUAAAGACGGGUUAUUCGCCGGUUUUGAAAGAUCCUUUUCCACGGACUAUUUUCACACACAAAUAUUUCUAUAACAAGAUAUUUACCCGGUAUUUCAGGUUUUGUUGUUGGAUCAAUCUUGGAGUGAACUUUAUAUCCUCGACAUUUCCCGGAAUCCUCAGCUUAUCGAAAGUCUUCUCGCGUUCAUAGGACAGUCACGUGAUGUAACAUGUAAUGACGACAACAAGCCCCUCCAUAUAGGUGCAUUGAAAGUAGCAUUAGAACGUCUUCAUUCACUUGAACUGGAUCUUGUCGAAUAUCUCUUUCUUAAAGUCAUUUAUUUCUUAAAG